rnacentral:rRNA from 1 species
UACAGAGGGUGCAAGCGUUAAUCGGAAUUACUGGGCGUAAAGCGUGCGUAGACGGUUAUGUAAGUCGGGUGUGAAAGCCCCGGACUCAACCUGGGAAUUGCAUUCGAGACUGCAUAGCUAGGAUGCGGAAGAGGGAAGUGGAAUUUCCGGUGGUAGCGGUGAAAUGCGUAGAUAUCGGAAGGAACACCAGUGGCGAAGGCGACUACCUGGCCUGUUCUU